GACCCUAGAGCGGCGAACGGGUGAGUAACGCGUACGAAACCUACCUUUAAGAGAGGAAUAGCCCUGGGAAACUGGGAGUAAUGCCUCAUAGUAUUCAUUUACCACAUGGUUUAUGGAUUAAAGCUACGGCGCUUAAAGAUGGUCGUGCGUCUGAUUAGCUAGUUGGUAGGGUAACGGCCUACCAAGGCUACGAUCAGUAGGGGGCGUGAGAGCGUGGCCCCCCACACGGGUACUGAGACACGGACCCGACUCCUACGGGAGGCAGCAGUAAGGAAUAUUGGGCAAUGGACGCAAGUCUGACCCAGCCAUCCCGCGUGCAGGAGGAAUGCCCUAUGGGUUGUAAACUGCUUUUGUUUGGGAAGAAAUGUAUUCUUUUAAGAGUAUUUGACGGUACCAGACGAAUAAGCACCGGCUAACUCCGUGCCAGCAGCCGCGGUAAUACGGAGGGUGCAAGCGUUAUCCGGAAUCACUGGGUUUAAAGGGUGCGUAGGCGGCCAGAUAAGUCAGAGGUGAAAGUUUCCGGCUCAACCGGGAGAUUGCCUUUGAUACUGUUUGGCUUGAAUCAGAUUGAGGUUGGCGGAAUGUGACAUGUAGCGGUGAAAUGCAUAGAUAUGUCAUAGAACAUCGAUUGCGAAGGCAGCUGGCUGGAUCUGUAUUGACGCUGAGGCACGAAAGCGUGGGGAGCAAACAGGAUUAGAUA
rnacentral:rRNA from 1 species